rnacentral:rRNA from 1 species
GAUGAACGCUGGCGGCGUGCCUAACACAUGCAAGUCGAGCGAUUCUCUUCGGAGAAGAGCGGCGGACGGGUGAGUAACGCGUGGGUAACCUGCCCUGUACACACGGAUAACAUACCGAAAGGUAUGCUAAUACGAGAUAAUAUGCUUUUAUCGCAUGGUAGAAGUAUCAAAGCUUUUGCGGUACAGGAUGGACCCGCGUCUGAUUAGCUAGUUGGUAAGGUAACGGCUUACCAAGGCGACGAUCAGUAGCCGACCUGAGAGGGUGAUCGGCCACAUUGGAACUGAGACACGGUCCAAACUCCUACGGGAGGCAGCAGUGGGGAAUAUUGCGCAAUGGGCGAAAGCCUGAUGCAGCAACGCCGCGUGAGCGAUGAAGGCCUUCGGGUCGUAAAGCUCUGUCCUCAAGGAAGAUAAUGACGGUACUUGAGGAGGAAGCCCGGCUAACACGUGCCAGCAGCCGCGGUAA